CGGCCUUCGGGUUGUAAAAUUCUGUGGCGAGGAACGAAUGGCAAGGAGAGGAAAUGCUCUUUGUUUGACGGUACCUCGCUAGAAAGCCACGGCUAACUACGUGCCAGCAGCCGCGGUAAUACGUAGGUGGCAAGCGUUAUCCGGAAUUAUUGGGCGUAAAGAGUGAGCAGGCGGUUUUUUAAGUCUGAAGUCAAAUCCUGUGGCUCAACCACAGUUCGCUUUGGAAACUGAAGAACUAGAGUGCGGGAGAGGUAAGCGGAAUUCCAUAUGUAGCGGUGAAAUGCACAGAUAUAUGGAGGAACACCGGUGGCGAAGGCGGCUUACCAGCCCGAUACUGACGCUCAGUCACGAAAGCGUGGGGAGCAAAUAGGCUUAGAUACCCUAGUAGUCCACGCCGUAAACGUUGAGGACCUGAUGCCGGAGUAUUUCGGUGUCGUAGCUAACGCGUUAAGUCCUCCGCCUGGGUACUACGUUCGCAAGAAUAAAACUCAAAGGAAUUGACGGGGGCCCGCACAAGCAGUGGAGCAUGUGGUUUAAUUCGUCGCUACGCGAAAAACCUUACCAGGGUUUGACAUCCCGCUAAAAGUCUUGGAAACAAGAUCAUAGUUAUAGCGGUGAAAGGUGGUGCAUGGUUGUCGUCAGCUCGUGUCGUGAGAUGUUGGGUUAAGUCCCCUAACGAGCGCAACCCUUGUCUCUAUUUGCCAUCAUUAAGUUGGGAACUAUAGAGAGACUGCCGGUGCAAACCGGAGGAAGAUGGGGAUGACGUCAAAUCAUCAUGCCCCUUAUGCCCUGGGCCACACACGUGCUACAAUGGCCGGUACAGAGAGAAGCAAUCCCGUGAGGAGGAGCAAAUCUCACAAAGCCGGUCUCAGUUCGGAUUGGAGUCUGCAACUCGACUCCAUGAAGCUGGAAUUGCUAGUAAUCGCAGAUCAGCAUUGCUGCGGUGAAUACGUUCCCGGGCCUUGUACACACUGCCCGUCACACCAUGAGAGUCGGCAAUACUCGAAGUCGUUAUCUUAACCUGCAAGGGAGGGAGGCGCCUAAGGUAGGGCUGAUGAUUGGGGUUAAGUCGUAACAAGGUAUCCCUACGGGAACGUGGGGAUG
rnacentral:rRNA from 1 species